CACGCGAGACGACCCGCUGAAUUUAAGCAUAUAAAUAAGCGGAGGAAAAGAGACCAACAGGAUUC
rnacentral:rRNA from 1 species